rnacentral:ncRNA from 1 species
UAGAAUACUGUGAAAGAGAGAGUAGAUAUACGAAAGUUUUUUAGAGAGAAAAAGUUAUGGCUGAGAGCUUUUUUAAAAUGGAAGUAUAUUGAAGUUCGCUCUGGAGUACUUGCUGUGAAAUUAAAGUAUCUUUCAAUCAAUAAUAAGCUAAAGAUAUCAAGUAGCAGCUAAGCGGGAAAUACCGAUAAAUAUACAAAGAGGAUAUUAUUUUUAAUGUCAAUUUGGGUGGUAACGCGGAUUAGUUCGUCCCUUAG